rnacentral:lncRNA from 1 species
UGCUUUAUUUUUUUUUUUUAUAGAGUUAGUUCUUUCUGAUCAAAAUGUAAGAUACAAUUUCAUUUUCAAAUUUAACAUACAUUUGCUUUAUUUUUUAAAAAAAGAUACUACAUAAUUUGUUUAUUUUCUAUUUUAGGGAGAUAGAAUACAUGCAACGAUAAGAAAAGUUUUUCUGAAUAAAUUUAAAGGCCUUUUUACGGAAGGAAAAGUUAUGUGAUCAACCAGUUUGGAGUGGGGCAGAGCAGCGGCUCCUACAGGACCACUAAUCAUCCUUACAAAAUCAAUUUUCAAUAUUCUACGGUUGUACGUGAGAUAGAAAAUGUUUUGACCGUGUCAAAGUAUGGAUUUAUAUUUACCCCUUUUGAUGAAAUACUUGGUAAUGUCGCUAAUGACAAAUAUUUAGUAGAUAAGAGUUAUUACAUGCAUCAAAUAUUUAAUUUUUAAAAUUUAAUUUUUAAUAUAUGUAUCUAUUAUAUUGAUUCUUACAUUUUAUUAUUAUAUUAUCUCAGAUGUCAUUGGGAAGCUUUCUGAAAUUAGUAGAAUAGAAGAAAACUGCAAGGACGGUAAAAAACAAAAAAGAUUACGAUACAACUUGAGGACGACAAGUAUGUGUUUAUAAUUAUAGAUAUAUCUUUUGAACGUUUAUAUAUUUUUUUUCAGUUAGCUGCUGAUCUAUACUACUUAUAAAAACGUUAGUUUUGCAUUUUUUCCUCUUUUCCAAAAUACUAGUCCCUAUUAAUAUAAUAUCUUUCGCAUAUAUAAUAUUUAAUCAUAUUUUUUUUAAAACAAAAUAUAUAAAAGUUAUCCGUGCUUUUACCUACUAAUAUUUAAAUAUUGGAUAUUUUAUUUAAGACAUUAUAAAAUAUAUUAACAUAUAUAAUAUUUAAUCAUAUUUUUUAAAAGCAGAAUAUAUAAAAGUUAUCUCAAAUUUAAAAUAUUACAUAUUUUAUUUCAAUUAUUAUAAAAUAUAUUAAUUCUUAGUCAAUAAAUCUAAUUGACUGACGAAUAUAAAAUAUCUGUUAUUUUUUUUUAUCUAAAUUGCCCUCAAAUAGUAGUAUCAAAUUUCACUUUUUAUAUGCAUGCCAUAUCUUCUAAUAACCGUCGCCCACAUAAUAUCAUAUUUUAUCACAAAUAAUAUUCGCAUAUCUUAAUUUNGGAAGCAAAAAAAAAAAAAGAAAAAGAAAUUGCUUCCAAAUUUUUUAUUUUUGUUAACAAUUAAAUAUCUUAAAUGUAUAGAUUACAAGCAAUCUACUGUCUAUUUCUACACUAUUUCAUGUAAAAUUUUUAUUAUAAAAAAGCCUGCAACAAUACAACAGUAGACCGAUUUUUGUAGACGUGGGUGAGGCCGUUUAUUUUACUAGAUUGCGUGCCCUUUUUAGCUCUUUUCAGAUAUUUUUAGAGUUCCUCUUUCUUUAGUUUUGUCACUCCUUGAGGCCCUAGCUGCCUCACCUUUUAUAGUCAAAUUCAUUUACCUAAUGAAUGAAGCAGAUGGCGUGCUACCUUUUUCUCAAAAAAAAAAAACUAUCCACUUUAUUUAAUGAUAAGCUCUACUUUAUGCAUUAAACACAUACAUGGAUUAUAAAAUUGCUCUAUCUUACAAUACAUUAGUUUCUCCGCAAUAAAAUUAAGGGUUAAUUGCAUACAACUUUCUAUAAACAUAUAUAAUAGCAGAUAUUUCCCGAGUAGGGCUAGAAUACUUUUACAAGUAUCACCCAAGUGAUACUUGUGUGUUUUUAGCCAUCGGAUCUACUUUUUGAUUACUAAUAGUCUUUGGAUCAAACACUAUUCCACCUACCACCACCUACCACUAUCAUCUCAACCUCACAUCUCUCCAUCCAAGGGCUAAAAACACACAAGUAUCACUUGGAUGAUACUUUUACAAGUAUUCUAGCUCUACUCGAUAUUUCCCUACAAAGUUUAACUUUUUAUUUUGGUUAAAUUAUAGAAAAUUUUCUUAUAAAUACCUAUUUUUUUACUUUUUCUCCCUAACUUUCAAAAACCUAUAUUUUACUUUCUUAACAUUUCAAAUUAUUGCAUUUAGCCCUACUUUGUCAGGAUUCCAUUACUAUUCUAUCUAUUUUUUAUAAUUUAUACCGAAAAUAUCCUUUAAAAUAAAAAAAUAUA